GCGGGGAUACACUUAACAUGCUAGUCGGACGGCAGCACGGGUGCUUGCCCUGGUGGCGAGUGGCGAACGGGUGAGUAAUACAUCGGAACAUGUCCUGUAGUGGGGGAUAGCCCGGCGUAAGCCGGAUUAAUACCGUAUACGAUCUAUGGAUGAAAGCGGGGGACCUUCAACCCUCGCGCUAUAGGGUUGGCCGAUGCCUGAUUAGCUAGUUGGUGAGGUAGAGGCCUACCAAGGCGACGAUCAGUAGCUGGUCUGAGAGGACGACCAGUCUAACUGGGACUGAGACAGGGCCCAGACUUAUACGGGAGGCAGCGGUGGGGAAUUUUGGACAAUGGGCGAAAGCCUGAUCCAGCAAUGCCGCGUGGUGUGAAGAAGGCCUUCGGGUUGUAAAGGCACUUUUGUCCGGGAAAGGAAAUCCUUGGCUCUAAUACAGCCGGGGGAUGACGGGUACCGGAGGAAUAAAGCACCGGGCUAACUACUUGCCAGCAGCCGCGGUAAAUACGUAGGGGUGCAAGCGUUAAUCGGAAUUACUGGGGCGUAAAAGCGUGCGCGGGCGGUUUGCUAAGACCGAUGUGAAAUCCCCCGGGCUCAACCUGGGAACUGCAUUGGUGACUGGCAGGCUAGAGUAUGGCAGAAGGGGGGGAAAAAUUCCACGUGUAGCAGUGAAAUGCGUAGAGAUUGUGGAGGAAUACCGAUGGCGAAGGGCAGCCCCCCUUGGGCCAAUACUGACGCUCAUGCACGAAAGCCGUGGGGGGAGCAAACAGGAUUAGAUACCCCUGGUAGUCCCACGCCCCUAAACGAUGUCAACUAGUUUGUUGGGGGGGAUACAUUUCCUUUAGCUAACGGUAGCCUAACGGCGUGAAGGUUGACCCCGCCAUGGGGGAGUACGGUCGGCAAGAUUAAGACUUCAAGAAAUUGGACGGGGGACCCGCACCAAGGCCGGUGGAAUGAUGUGGCAUUAAAUUCCGGAUGCAACGCGUAAACACCUUAACCUACCCUGGACAUUGCUCGGCAAUCCCUGUAGAGAUCGUGAGUUCCUCGGAGAGAGCGAACCUGUGGGCGCUCCACUGU
rnacentral:rRNA from 1 species